UUCUCUAGAUUGUAGCACUUGCCAUGACGGGGAGCGACACCUAUGAGCCGCAGUUGGCGGAGGGUGGCGCCAUCUAUGAGAAAAGGUUUAGCGUAGGUAUUGGGGGAGCGCCUGGAACAAAACGAAUUCCGGUAGUUCGCCAUUUGUGGACCCCAGGAGCCAGCCCGCCGAAAAUCCGGCGUCGGUCCGCUUAUGGGUAUGGGUGGGAUCAUUCCCAAGCAAGAUCUGCAACAAGCCAGACGUGUCAGCAAGGCGCUAAGCAGCAAAACCACGGGAGAAAAAACCAACAAUAUUCGAAGAUCCCGCCGGCAGUUGUGACAAUUAAUUUUGGGGACGCUCAAAGGCUCCCAAUUGUCCACCGGCGUCAGUAAACCGAGUGUAGAGGUGGAAGUGGUGGCUCGAGGAAAACCCAGGGGCCGAGCAAAAGUCCGAGUGGACUAUUCCGUGUCCACUAUUAAAGAACUCCAGGUGGCUCAACUAAGGAAGUCCAACCAAAGGCGGACGGAGGAGCACCGAGGAAGGAGAUGAAAUCCCGGCCUAAAAUAGGCUAACCGCAGCAAGUUCGCUUCGAACCGAAGCUAGGUUCGAGCGAACGGAGGAGCGCAGAGGAGGCGCUAACCGCAGUGUAGCGCGAUCUUCAAGAACGGGAGGGAGGAAAACAUCGGAGGUGUCCCAGUAAAAGGUCCAGGCUGAAUGGAUAUUCCAGCUUUGGAUCCGGUCCGUAGUGUCCCUGGCCAGUGAUUUCAAGGAGCCAUAUUAGAGAAGCAGUGUAAACCCAAAGUGAAAUGGAUAAGAUUUAAGCAAGAAAAAAAAAAAAACAAGAAAAAAUCGGAAGAAACCCGGAAAAAAAAAAAAAAGGUUUAAGGAAGCAAAGAAAAGUUUUAACGUAACGUUCCUAAUGGCUUGAUCGGGAAACAAGGCUAGUCAGAGGAAAUUCAAUGUCGCUUCAAAUUGUGUUAUUGUUUUCGUGGUUUUAUUUAAUUGUGCCGCCCCAGUGGGGAAUAAUUUGUAAGGCAUAAAAACUUUGUUUCAGCGACCCCCCCGAAAGCGCUUUCGUCGUGGGAUGCAGCAAGGAGUUCUCAGUGAGUAAAACCGGCCAAUUUGUUUUAUGUGACAAUUUUGUUUUGAUUUUUAAUCCUUGGUGUCCCGACCAAUGCGGACUCUAAGAGUCACAAGUUUUCCUAUGUGUUUUUGGUUCCUUUAAUUUUUUUUUUUGUUUGGUUUUUAAAAGAAAAAAAAAUAAUUAUUAAUACCCAGUCUUUCACUUUGAUUUACGUUGUUGAUUCAUAAUUUUAUUUAAUUCUAUCAAUUUUAACUUGUGCUAUUUGCUAAGCCAAUUCUAAGCUGAUAUGUACGCCUUGAUGUUUAUUUAUAUUUAUUUAUUGAAAUUAUUUUAGCUUUAGUUCUUUUUAUACGCAUUUGCCAUGAUCCAAUUUUAUAUGUAUGUUCUAUCGUAGGAAUAAAUAUUUUAUAAUGUUUUAAACCAUCAGUUUUAUGCCGCAGCUAGCAGAGAGUAGGUAGUAGGAGUACCCAUGGAAAGGGGUCGCUCGCAGGAUGUGGAAAGCGAGCGAUCAUUGGUAGGGUGGGCACGCGAGAGUCGCCCCAUGACACCUGGGUGACUCGUAAGAAAGGCGCAGGAAGGGAACCCCCCCCAUCUCUCACCAUCCUAGGAUAUCGGGACUCUUUCCGGAGAGUAGAUAUUUCGUCGCGAGCACGCAUUUGAAGUUAGAUCCCUACCUGGAGAGGCACCCUUGGGAACCGGCAAAUAACACCCCCCUUGCCGACGAGCCGAAGCCGGAUAUUCCAGCGUGCGCUGGUUCCCAGGUUUUACCACCCGCCUCCGCCCAUAGAUGAUUGUAGGAGUUCGUUACAAUUAUAAUCAUUUAUAGUUAUUAGGAAUCAUAAUUUUUGGCGCCCAACUUUAAGGCCACAUUUUUGUUGUGACCCAAGCUCCCGAAAUCCUCAAACAAUAGUAAGGAUCAGGAACCAGGUGGUGGGCUAUACAACCAAACAUAGCCACGGUUGCCACCGGUUGCUAUCAAACAUGAGUAUCUUGCCUACAGUAAUGGUAAAACGCAUAGGAACACAGAGUAUGGAAAUAUUCUGUUCUCUGUCCACGUUAGACCUUACUAAAGGCAGAGAAAAUAAUCUUAAUCCUAAUUUAAAAAAUUCCAUAUAAAUAUCCGCACCUGCUUAAUCAAACGCUUAGGAAAUGCAAGCGUAUUUUGUCCUUGGACGAAGCGCUUGACCACGGGUGAUUAGGUCAGAUGUGGGUAUUUUUGUCAUCAAAAGAAAAAAAUAUAUAUAAAUGAAAUAUAUUUAAAAGCAGGUUCGCGACAUUCGAAGGGUAUGCAGCGUUGGUCAUCUUUUUAUAAAGAUUGCUGCAAACCACGAUGGUCAUCAUAGCGAACAUGCUUAGCUGCAAACGUAGAGAGGUGUUAAACGCAGGAAUACAGGAAGAGGGGGAUUAUGCUAAUGAGGCAAUUAGUGCAAUUCCUUUACUUCGUCUGUCCGCGGUUUGCACUAACUGUCUUAUUGUCGCAGACUUGCGAUGAGCAGCCUUGCACAAAAUUUUUUUUCGUUUUUUUCAUAUUCCCUAUUCCUCAAGCCUAAUCGCGCAAAUUUG